AGUUACUAGGGGCUGCUUUAACCCAGUUCUAGGGGCUGCUUUAACCCAGUACUAGGGGCUGCUAGGGGCUGCUUUAACCCAGUACUAGGGGCUGCUUUAACCCAGUACUAGGGGCUGCUAGGGGCUGCUUUAAACCCAGUACUAGGGGCUGCUUUAACCCAGUACUAGGGGCUGCUUUAACCCAGUUCUAGGGGCUGCUUUUAACCCAGUACUAGGGGCUGCUUUAACCCAGUACUAGGGGCUGCUUUAACCCAGUACUAGGGGCUGCUUUUAACCCAGUGCUAGGGGGCUGCUUUAACCCAG